GCAAAUCGGAGGAGCGUUUGAUGUUUAUGACCUCCGGCCGUCCUUCUGCUUCCUGAUUCUUCUUAUUCUUCCUAGACUUAUUUUGAGUAAACCUCACAAACCCUAAUUUUUGAUCGGAACCGCUUCGUUUCCGAUUCUAGGCACAUUGGGAAGAGAUAUCGCGAGGAAGGAAGGUUUGGAUAAUGAGAAGGCGGGUUCACUGGCUCCGUCGACCAGUUCUAGGAACAUUGGGAAGAGAUAUAUCAAGAACAAAAGCCACCGUCUCUUUUGACGAGAAAGAUCUUAAGUACAAUAGAAAUUCUAACUUUACUGCUGAUUCAAUCUAGGUAUCUUUGAAUUCGCGUGAUUAGUGAGUUUUCUGUUGUGUGUUGUUUUGUUGCUAGAGAUUUUGUGAGUGACGUUAGAAUCCUCUGUUGGUCGGUAAUUGAGUUUUCAGUUAACGGUUGUAAGUUUGUGUUGUAUUAAUCCAAAUUUGAGUGCCUUGAGCUUGUUCUGAUUCGUUUGUAUAGAAAUUUGAGUGCUUCUUUUGUUUUGG
rnacentral:sRNA from 1 species